rnacentral:rRNA from 1 species
UACGAAGGGGGGCUAGCGUUGCUCGGAAUCACUGGGCGUAAAGCGCACGUAGGCGGAUCUUUAAGUCAGGGGUGAAAUCCCAAGGCUCAACCUUGGAACUGCCUUUGAUACUGGGGAUCUCGAGUCCGGAAGAGGUGAGUGGAACUGCGAGUGUAGAGGUGAAAUUCGUAGAUAUUCGCAAGAACACCGGUGGCGAAGGCGGCAUUCUGGACCGAUAUUGACGCUGAGGAGCGAAAGCCAGGGGAGCAAACGGG